UACAGAGGGGGCAAGCGUUAAUCGGAAUUACUGGGCGUAAAGUGUGCGCAGGCGGCGCCGCAAGUCGAGUGUGAAAGCCCCGGGCUUAACUUGGGAAUUGCGCUCGAAACUAUGGUGCUGGAGUGUGGCAGAGGAAGGUGGAAUUCCACGUGUAGCGGUGAAAUGCGUAGAGAUGUGGAGGAACACCGAUGGCGAAGGCAGCCUUCUGGGCCAACACUGACGCUCAUGCACGAAAGCGUGGGGAGCAAACAGG
rnacentral:rRNA from 1 species